AUGGAUUUGCAACUCCAUUUGAUCGAAACUAUUACAAACGAUUUUUCAGAGGAUCAAAAAGUUGGCAGUGGUGGGUAUGGAGAAGUUUACAAGGCGGUUUAUAAUGGGAAAGAGAUUGCUGUGAAGAAGCUUCAUCCCUUGCAAGGACUUGACGAUAAGCAAUUUCACAGUGAACUCCUUAACCUUGCCGAGGUGUCUCACAAAAAUAUUAUAAGAUUGGUUGGCUACUGUCACGAAUCGAAGAAUAAAUACAUCAAGCACAAUGGGGAAACUAUAUGGGCGAAAUCAAUGGAGAGGAUUCUCUGCUUUGAAUAUAUGCAGGGUGGAAGCCUCGAAAAACAUAUUGCAGAUGAAUCUUGUAAACUUGACUGGCCCACAUGUUACAAUAUCAUCAGAGGGACUUGUGAGGGCUUAAAUCACCUUCACAGUGCUCCGGACAAACCUAUUUUCCAUUUGGACUUAAAGCCGGAUAACAUAUUGCUAGAUAAGAGCAUGACGCCCAAAAUUGCAGAUCUUGGUUUGUCACGGGUUUUCGCUUCAUCAGAAACACAUCAAACAGAGAUUGUCAAAGGAACACAUGGGUAUAUGCCACCAGAAUACUUACAACAUCGCCUAAUAUCAAAGAAGUUCGAUGUGUUCAGUUUUGGCGCCAUAAUUAUAAAGAUGGUGGCAGGAAAUACUGGGUCUUCCCGUCGUUCUCAGAUGCCUCCCAUGGAGUUUAUUAAGCUUGCAAGUGAAUACUGGACCAAAAGGUUGCAGGCGAUGCCGGCCUCGUACUCGUCACACCAAGUAGACAUCCUUCGAGUCACUAAGUGCGUUGAUAUCGCAUUAAGGUGUGUGGACAAGGACAGAGAUAAAAGGCCUUGUAUUAAGGACAUUCUCCAUGAACUUGAUGAACUAGAAGCUGAGAUACAGAAAAUGUUACAGACAUCAGAUGUUUCAGAAGACCUAACUGUCCAGAGAAGCCGCGACACAAAUGUUGUGUCAGUGGAUCCGACGCUGGAGAUGCGGUUCCUCUUCGAGCCAAGGAAGGACGUAUCAUGCUGCCUGCAGCUGACCAACAAGACGGACGACUUCAUUGCGUUCAACGUAAAGAUAAAUCAAACCAAGUACCACGCAAGGCCAAGCAGAGGAACCAUGCCGCCGUGUUCCAAGAGGUACAUUGCCAUAACGCUGCGAGCGCAAGCGGCGGCACCGCUCAACAUGCGAUGCCACGACAUGCUCCUCGUGCAGAGCACCCGCAUCGACCAAGAGUUGGCAUCAGAUCAUGAGGAGAUUGAUUAUCAAGAAUUGUUCAAGGCGGCCAUGACGGAUAAGGUGGUUGAUGUGGUGAAGCUACCCAUCGUUUAUGUUACAGCGGGCCAAUAG
rnacentral:rRNA from 1 species